CCUACGGGAGGCAGCAGUGGGGGAUAUUGCACAAUGGGGGAAACCCUGAUGCAGCGACGCCGCGUGAGCGAUGAAGUAUUUCGGAAUGUAAAGUCCUAUCAGCAGAGAAGAUAAUGACGGUAUCUGACUAAGAAGCCCCGGCUAACUACGUGCCAGCAGCCGCGGUAAUACGUAGGGGGCAAGCGUUAGGCGGAUUUACUGGGUGUAAAGGGAGCGUAGACGGGAGUGCAAGUCUGAAGUGAAAGGCAAGGGCUGAACCAUUGGACUGCAUUUGAAACUGUGCUGCUGGAGUGUGGGAGAGGCAAGUGGAAGUCUUGGUGUAGGGGUAAAAUGCGUAGAUAUUAAGAGGAAUACUAGUGGCGAAGGCGACUUGCUGGAAGAUGACUGACGUUGAGGCUCGAAAGCGUGGGGAGCAAACAGGAUUAGAUACCCUAGUAGUC
rnacentral:rRNA from 1 species